rnacentral:rRNA from 1 species
ACGCUGGCGGCGUGCCUAACACAUGCAAGUCGAACGGAGAUGUUGAUUUCGGUUGACGUCUUAGUGGCGAACGGGUGAGUAACGCGUGAACAAUCUGACCUUAAGAGGGGGAUAACAACGAGAAAUCGUUGCUAAUACCGCAUAAGACCACAAUGCCGCAUGGCGAAGGGGUCAAAGGAGCAAUCCGCUUAAGGAGGGGUUCGCGUCCCAUUAGGUAGUAGGUGAGGUAACGGCCCACCUAGCCGACGAUGGGUAGCCGAGCUGAGAGGCUGAUCGGCCACACUGGAACUGAGACACGGUCCAGACUCCUACGGGAGGCAGCAGUGGGGAAUAUUGGGCAAUGGGCGCAAGCCUGACCCAGCAACGCCGCGUGAGGGAAGAAGGUUUUCGGAUUGUAAACCUCUGUCGCAGAUGACGAAACAAAUGACGGUAAUCUGUGAGGAAGCCCCGGCUAACUACGUG